rnacentral:rRNA from 1 species
UACGAAGGGUGCAAGCGUUACUCGGAAUUACUGGGCGUAAAGCGUGCGUAGGUGGUUUGUUAAGUCUGAUGUGAAAGCCCUGGGCUCAACCUGGGAACUGCAUUGGAAACUGGCUUACUAGAGUGCGGUAGAGGGGUGUGGAAUUCCCGGUGUAGCAGUGAAAUGCGUAGAUAUCGGGAGGAACAUCUGUGGCUAAGGCGACACCCUGGACCAGCACUGACACUGAGGCACGAAAGCGUGGGGAGCAAACAGG